UCUAGAAAGCUCAACUUCCAGAAAAAGGUUUCCUUUAUCGAUCGAGAAUGAGUCAUUGUCCCGAAGAGGUACUUUUUGGGGUGGAACCCCAAUUUAAUGAACCUAUAAAAAUGUGACGCCUGCUGAUGGUGAAAAAUCCCCCGCUGAAGUGCCGAUAAGACCCACCCAAAAAUAUCAACUAGAAAAAGGAUCAUCGAGAUGUUUUAGGAUAGUUUAUUCUACUUUAUCACAGUAGAACAUAUAUGUAAUUUAAAUAAAUGGAUUUAGAUAAGCUCUAUAUACCACACACUGAAAUCUGAAAUAGAUUUAGAGGGACUCAUGCUUUAUUUAUAAGAUAUAAAUAAACAAAAAGAUAUCUCUAAAAACAAAAA